GAUGAACGCUGGCGGCGUGCCUAAUACAUGCAAGUAGAGCGAACAGACGAGGAGCUUGCUCCUCUGACGUUAGCGGCGGACGGGUGAGUAACACGUGGAUAACCUACCUAUAAGACUGGGAUAACUUCGGGAAACCGGAGCUAAUACCGGAUAAUAUAUUGAACCGCAUGGUUCAAUAGUGAAAGACGGUUUUGCUGUCACUUAUAGAUGGAUCCGCGCCGCAUUAGCUAGUUGGUAAGGUAACGGCUUACCAAGGCAACGAUGCGUAGCCGACCUGAGAGGGUGAUCGGCCACACUGGAACUGAGACACGGUCCAGACUCCUACGGGAGGCAGCAGUAGGGAAUCUUCCGCAAUGGGCGAAAGCCUGACGGAGCAACGCCGCGUGAGUGAUGAAGGUCUUCGGAUCGUAAAACUCUGUUAUUAGGGAAGAACAAAUGUGUAAGUAACUAUGCACGUCUUGACGGUACCUAAUCAGAAAGCCACGGCUAACUACGUG
rnacentral:rRNA from 1 species